GGGCGAUUAGCUCAGUGGUAGAGCGCCUGCUUUACACGCAGGAUGCCAUAGGUUCAAGUCCUAUAUCGCCCA
rnacentral:tRNA from 3 species